UACGUAGGGGGCUAGCGUUGUCCGGAAUCAUUGGGCGUAAAGGGCGCGUAGGCGGCGCAACAAGUCACUUGUGAAAUCUCCGGGCUUAACCCGGAGCGGUCAAGUGAUACUGUCGUGCUAGAGUGCGGAAGGGGCUACUGGAAUUCUCGGUGUAGCGGUGAAAUGCGUAGAUAUCGAGAGGAACACCUGCGGCGAAGGCGGGUAGCUGGGCCGACACUGACGCUGGAUGCGGCGAAAGCUAGGGGAGCGAACGGG
rnacentral:rRNA from 1 species